rnacentral:rRNA from 1 species
CCUACGGGAGGCAGCAGUGGGGAAUAUUGGUCAAUGGGCGCAAGCCUGACCCAGCAACGCCGCGUGAAGGAAGACGGCUUUCGGGUUGUAAACUUCUUUUGACAGGGAAGAGUAGAAGACGGUACCUGUCGAAUAAGCCACGGCUAACUACGUGCCAGCAGCCGCGGUAAUACGUAGGUGGCCAGCGUUGUCCGGAUUUACUGGGUGUAAAGGGCGUGUAGCCGGGUUGACAAGUCCGGAGUGAAAUCCUGGGGCUUAACCGCAGAACUGCAUUUGAAACUGUUGAUCUUGAGUACUGGAGAGGUAAGAGGAAUUUCUAGGGUAGCGGUGAAAUGCGGAGAUAUUAGGAGGAACACCAGUGGGGAAGGCGGUGUACUGGAACGGAACCGACGGUGAGGCGCGAAGGCGUGGGGAGCAAACAGGAUUAGAUACCCCUGUAGUC